rnacentral:piRNA from 1 species
UCACUUUUGCAAGUGUUCGGUUGCUGAC